GUAAUACUAUAGUGGUCUAUGUGCUUGACUGAAAAUCAAGAGAUGGUGGUUCGAUUCCACCCGCGA
rnacentral:tRNA from 1 species